rnacentral:tRNA from 1 species
GGGCCAUAGCUCAGUUGGGAGAGCGUCUGGUUUGCAACCAGAAGGUCGUCGGUUCGAUCCCGUCUGGCUCC